UAAGUCAGGUCUGUCUGAUGCCACAGCGGAUGUUUAUCCUACUCGAGCUGUUGCUUGGAGUGUGGAGGAGAUCCUUCCAACAGGAAAGUGGUGACAGUCUCUUAAAUCACGACACUGCUUCUUUCCCUCAUCUCAUGUCACACGCACAUCUCUCCUGGCACCUAACAUGCCCUCCCAUGUGAGAAAAAUGAGGUCAAAGGAUGGGAGCCAUGUCUAACUCAACUGCUCCCUACAGUGCUGAUCCUUCCCAGAUCAGACAGGUAAGAGGAAGACUGAUACGAACACGAGGGCUGAAGACCGUCCAUGACUCACACAAGAGUCUGUAAUAUGGACGUUGUGUUGCAGCAGUUGUGGCAAUUUUCUGGGGUGGGAGGUGAAUCUGGAAUUCAUCCCAGAAUCAUCUUCAGUGAAUCUCUUCCAAAGUUUAAUUAGUAAGUUCUGUGUUGUUUGAAUUUAACAUGAAAGGGCUGAUGUUUUUCUGGGUUAUGUUGGCCCGUUCUUUUAAGAUAAAAUUUUAUCUGUAAUCCUUUUGACAAAAAUUAAAAUUUUAGCAAACGUUUACGAAAUGCUUAUCAUCUGGCAGGAAAAACUACGGGACUGAGCACACGUGGUCCAGACAGUAGCUCUGGACCGGCUGGCCUGGGCUAGUGUUUUUGCUCUACCUGGGAGCUUGUAAUCCUUCUGCAACCAUUAAGAAUUUUUACAGAUAAAGCAGACUUUCCACUUGAAAGAAUCAAGUGCAGACAAUGGUUACUCCGACGCACGUGUGUGGCAGACACGUUCUCAGAGAUGAACGAAGUGAGCCUGUCUCUUCAGGAAAAACUGACAGCAUUUGUUACCGAUGACUCAAUUCAAGCUUUCAGGUAUGCGCUGCAAUUUUGGAAAGUUAGUACUGACCACUGUAAACGGAUAAUGAGGCCGUACUUCUAGAGAGACCUCUCUGUUGAGACCGGUGGGGGUGGCAACAGACACGGCUCUUUCAUACUGCCCAGGGAAAUGCGUCACAGGACCGUGAAAACACGCACGUCCCAGCGAACCAGUGUUUUUCGUAUGACCCAGGUCCGAUGUUUCCAAACCCACCAAAUGGAAGACGGACCAAGGCGUUUCAAUGAGACAGAGUGUGACAAGUUUACUGAUGUGGUUUCAGAAUCCACGCUGCAGCUAACCUUUAGGAAACUACCGCUUGCCAAGUUUCGGUGGAGUCAUCAAAGAAUACCCACACUUAGGUGCAAAGCUGUCAAAAUUCUUUCCUUUUCCACCUGCGUAUUUGUGGUUCCAACUACUUCAACCCAAACAACAUGUCCCAUCAGACUGAACCCAGAGGCAGAGAGAAGAAUCUAGCUAGCUCCCAUGAAGCUGGACAUUAAAGAGAUUUGCAAAAAUAUAAAACAAUACUGUUUUUGUUUUGGAAAGUAGUCAUUUUCCAUAAAAACAGAUUUUUUUUAUGUUAACAUGCAAUGAGUUGGCUACUGUCAUGUAUUUCAUGAUUAAUAACUAUCUUUAAAGCUUCUGUUUUUAAUUUCACAUGCGGUAAAUGUUGGCAGAUACAAGCCAUACACACCAGACGGCUUCGUGGCCCUUACAAUAAAGGAGAGAGGAGUUCUGAGACCGAAGGCUUUAAGCCCGGGCACAGGUCACCUGCCUGCAGGAAGUGUGUGAGAGCACAGUGACUCCUACACACUGGCCUGAAGAAUGAUUCUUUGAUCUGGAACAAUGUCUCACCGUCCACCCGGUGACGGGGGAGGAAGAAGGGCUCACUCACAGAACUAGCCUGCGGACAGAGCCCCGUGUCACAGCCGCCCGGCCCCAGGUCUCACACAUACCAGGAUCAAAAACCGCCGUUUCUGGCAAGAUAGGGAAAAGAGUCAGGGGAAACUUAAACUUCGUAUAAGCAGGACAGAUGCGUAGACCUCCCCAGAUCCAUCAGGCACAGAUCUAACGUGGGGACAGUUUCAAUUUCCUCACGGUACAUGUCACUUUCCAGUGCCCAGAAUGCAAGAAAACAGAAGUAAAAAGGUUUGAAAUAACGAGUUCUCUUUAGGAAUUAGAAAAAUUA